rnacentral:rRNA from 1 species
UACCAGCACCCCGAGUGGUCGGGACGUUUAUUGGGCCUAAAGCAUCCGUAGCCGGUUCUACAAGUCUUCCGUUAAAUCCAGCUGCUUAACAGAUGGGCUGCGGAAGAUACUAUGGAGCUAGGAGGCGGGAGAGGCAAGCGGUACUCGAUGGGUAGGGGUAAAAUCCGUUGAUCCAUUGAAGACCACCAGUGGCGAAGGCGGCUUGCCAGAACGCGCUCGACGGUGAGGGAUGAAAGCUGGGGGGAGCAAACCAGG